CCUACGGGUGGCUGCAGUGGGGAAUUUUGGACAAUGGGGGCAACCCUGAUCCAGCCAUGCCGCGUGCGGGAAGAAGGCCUUCGGGUUGUAAACCGCUUUUGUCAGGGAAGAAAUCUUCCGAGCUAAUACCUUGGGAGGAUGACGGUACCUGAAGAAUAAGCACCGGCUAACUACGUGCCAGCAGCCGCGGUAAUACGUAGGGUGCAAGCGUUAAUCGGAGCGUGUGGGGGUAAUUGGUCAACAGGCGGGUGAAAUCCCCGGGCUUAGCCUGGGAACUGCACUUGUGACUGUACGGCUGGAGUACGGCAGAGGGGGAUGGAAUUCCGCGUGUAGCAGUGAAAUGCGUAGAUAUGCGGAGGAACACCGAUGGCGAAGGCAGUCCCCUGGGCCUGUACUGACGCUCAUGCACGAAAGCGUGGGGAGCAAACAGGAUUAGAUACCCGUGUAGUC
rnacentral:rRNA from 1 species